UUAAAUUGAAGAGUUUGAUCAUGGCUCAGAUUGAACGCUGGCGGCAGGCCUAACACAUGCAAGUCGAACGGUAACAGGAAGCAGCUUGCUGCUUUGCUGACGAGUGGCGGACGGGUGAGUAAUGUCUGGGAAACUGCCUGAUGGAGGGGGAUAACUACUGGAAACGGUAGCUAAUACCGCAUAACGUCGCAAGACCAAAGAGGGGG
rnacentral:rRNA from 1 species